GACGAACGCUGGCGGCGGGCUUAACACAUGCAAGUCGAACGAACUCUUCGGAGUUAGUGGCGGACGGGUGAGUAACACGUGGGAACGUGCCUUUAGGUUCGGAAUAACUCAGGGAAACUUGUGCUAAUACCGAAUGUGCCCUUCGGGGGAAAGAUUUAUCGCCUUUAGAGCGGCCCGCGUCUGAUUAGCUAGUUGGUGAGGUAACGGCUCACCAAGGCGACGAUCAGUAGCUGGUCUGAGAGGAUGACCAGCCACACUGGGACUGAGACACGGCCCAGACUCCUACGGGAGGCAGCAGUGGGGAAUCUUGCGCAGUGGGCGAAAGCCUGACGCAGCCAUGCCGCGUGAAUGAUGAAGGUCUUAGGAUUGUAAAAUUCUUUCACCGGGGACGAUAAUGACGGUACCCGGAGAAGAAGCCCCGGCUAACUUCGUGCCAGCCGCCGCGGUAAUAC
rnacentral:rRNA from 1 species